CCUACGGGAGGCAGCAGUGAGGAAUAUUGGUCAAUGGACGAGAGUCUGAACCAGCCAAGUAGCGUGAAGGAUGACUGUCCUAUGGGUUGUAAACUUCUUUUAUAUGGGAAUAAAAUGUUCCACGUGUGGGAUUUUGUAUGUACCCUAUGAAUAAGGAUCGGCUAACUCCGUGCCAGCAGCCGCGGUAAUACGGAGGAUCCGAGCGUUAUCCGGAUUUAUUGGGUUUAAAGGGAGCGUAGGUGGAUUGUUAAGUCAGUUGUGAAAGUUUGCGGCUCAACCGUAAAAUUGCAGUUGAAACUGGCAGUCUUGAGUACAGUAGAGGUGGGCGGAAUUCGUGGUGUAGCGGUGAAAUGCUUAGAUAUCACGAAGAACUCCGAUUGCGAAGGCAGUUCACUGGACUGCAACUGACACUGAGGCUCGAAAGUGUGGGUAUCAAACAGGAUUAGAUACCCGUGUAGUC
rnacentral:rRNA from 1 species